AUCAUGAGUCGCCGCCGCCGUCGACGCACCCGCAUCAUCCGCCGCCGCCGGAGCCCCACCUCGAACCCGUCCCACACCGAGAAGAGAGCGAUGGCUGCCUUUCGUUUCUGAAAAACUGCGUGGAAUGUCUUUGCUGUUGCUGGCUAUUCAAGAAGGUGUGCUGCUGCUGCUGCUCUUAAUUCCCAGGAGUGCAUAUAUAAUCCUCAAAAAUAAUAAUUAUCGUUGUUGUCGUUGUUGUUACGUUACGUUGUUGUGAUUGUCAAUCUCCAUCUUCAAUUCGUUCUCCUAAUAAAAUGCAGCACGUACUAGGCCUGCUUAGCUUGCUGCCUGUAUUAAUCCUUUAAUUUCCAGUUAAGGUUUGCUUUGAAGGUUGUUUAUUUGACAUUAUGGUACGGUUGUUAUGAUAUAUGUCAUGUGCAUUUCCUCGCACUACCAUUAUAUA